AUGAGUUCGCGUCUGAUUAGCUAGUUGGUGAGGUAAUGGCUCACCAAGGCGACGAUCAGUAGCCGGCCUGAGAGGGUGAACGGCCACACUGGAACUGAGACACGGUCCAGACUCCUACGGGAGGCAGCAGUGGGGAAUAUUGCACAAUGGGCGAAAGCCUGAUGCAGCGACGCCGCGUGAGUGAAGAAGGUCUUCGGAUCGUAAAACUCUGUCCUUGGUGAAGAAAAAAAUGACGGUAGCCAAGGAGGAAGCCCCGGCUAACUACGUGCCAGCAGCCGCGGUAAUACGUAGGGGGCGAGCGUUGUCCGGAUUUACUGGGCGUAAAGGGUGAGUAGGCGGUUAUAUAUGUCAGAUGUAAAAGGCACAGGCUUAACUUGUGUAAGCAUUUGAAACUGUAUGACUUGAGUGCAGGAGAGGUAAGUGGAAUUCCUAGUGUAGCGGUGAAAUGCGUAGAUAUUAGGAGGAACACCAGUGGCGAAGGCGACUUACUGGACUGUAACUGACGCUGAGUCACGAAAGCGUGGGUAGCAAACAGGAUUAGAUACCCUGGUAGUCCACGCUGUAAACGAUGAGUGCUAGGUGUUGGCCAGCGAUGGUCAGUGCCGAAG
rnacentral:rRNA from 1 species